CUUCUGUUUUCACACACAGCUUCUGCAGUUCUGCUUAGCUUCUGGUAAAUAGUAAAGAUAAAUGUUUUACAUCUAGAGUUAUAUUUAUAUAAUUUCUGGAAUUUUUUAAAUACCAGGGGACUUUGUAAAUGACGUCUGAAUUUAAAACGCUGUUUCUGUCACAGCGGUGCUCCAAAACUUCUUUUUUUAUAAUACCAUCUCAUAAAACUUGUUCCUAAAAUACAUAGUACAAAUGAAAAACACAAAGGGCCUUGAGCAAGAAGAACACAGGGAUUUUGGUGUUGCCUAACACAUGUGGAUGAACACUGGGAGCGUUUCAGAAACACACAGGAAAACUUCCCUUCUCACUACUGUGCCACCGGGAGAGGACAACUAUCAACCCACAUUCCUGUUAUUGUUAUUCUAAUUAGCUUCCAGAUUAAAUAAAUAUCUGUGUGCAUGUACACGUACACACUUGUGCAAAAGCUUAUUUUCAGUGCGAGGGGGAAGUCGGGGUAGAGUUAGAGCAGCCAUGUGUGAGAUAGGAGCCCUGAUGUCUCCCAAGGAUUCAAGGAAAGGCAUGGGGUGAAAUGGCACAAUAAUCAAGACGGCCGGCGGGAGGGAGGGAGGAAGCCCACGGGAAGCUCUGCCUUCACACACAGUCGUCAUUAGAUUAUCUUUGAGAGGACCGCUACAUUCCCCUCAUCCCCGCUCUGCUGCCUACAUGUGACAGCUGCGCACAUAAAGACAAGACAGGGUUAUGAACAACAAAAACAACAACAACAAAAAAAACACUCCCGUAUCUGUAACGUAACAUUUAUCAAUGGAGAAGGAAAGCUAACCAACGUAACACCUGACAGAGCACAAUUCAAACGCAGAGUUCAUGUUUACUCCCACCAUACUGAACUCGUAAAACCAGCCAAAGCAAAGGUAAUAAAGUACUGCAUGGCAUCUUUGGUAAGACUCGGUGUUCUACAAUAAAAGUGAAUCCAGCAAAAUCUGUGAAUAGAUGAAAAAAUAAGUCUUGUUCUUAAGUAACACGUGUUUGGUAAUCAAUAAGCAACUGACCACGUGGAUUUAUUUAACUAGGUCCUUUUUUUCUAAGAAUUCAGAUCAUGCCAACGAGCAGCGUUGCCAGAGCCCCAAAACAAAAUAAGCACCAAGAUGUGAAAUUCCAACCAUGGGAAUCCAGACCAGCUCUGAACGCAUCUCUUAAUCCCCUGUGAUUAUAAAGCAAUCCAGAGUCUUAUUUUGUUUUAUACCAGAUGUAAGUUAUUGAUUAGACCGUUGCAGUUUUCACUGCACAGCCAGUUUUAAGUCCAUUUACCCUACCUAAAGUAGUAAAAUAAGAUGUUAGUCAAAAUAAGCUGCCCCCCUGCUAUUUAUAGGUUGCACAGUAGGCUUUAAAUGCAAACUUCAGAGGUCCUUUGAGAGUUUGUGUCUUUCAUUGCAUGAUUACAAGCUUGGCAGGACGAUUUACAAUAGUAGGGCUAUGUGCCGCAGCGACAGAAAGAAAAAGCAGUCGAAAAACCUCAGCGUGCUAUUUCUUGAUAGGAGCCUCGGCCCCUGACACCGCUGAGCCCUGGAGUGAUGCCAGGACAGUGAUUUGAAGAAUUCCUCUGGUUUCUGUGGCUCUGCAAGUGCCCCUUUGCAGGAAAUGUGACAUGGACCAGGCAGGACAGUGAUCAAAAAAAGAGGAAGCUGUCAGACUGUGGAGUUUUAACUCCUCUCUUCACGGACCAAUGAGCUCUGGAGAUGGGCGGGCUUCCAAGCGUGUAAAGGGCAGAAAACAACAAUACACAAGAACCGAGCAUCAACUCUCCGAACCAAGUCCGAUCCAGGUCCAGUUUGAUCCCGUCAGGAGCAAAUGCGACAAAAUGAGGAGAGUCCGUACCGGUGCUCCUGUUUCAGCGCUGCCAUUUYUUCAACUGAAGUCCUCCAGCUCCAGCGGCGACAUUCUGCUCCAACGUCACGAAGAAGACGGGUGGGCGGGGCUAACACACAAACACAAGCUCACGCAUUUUUAAGCACGCGCACAGAAAUAUGAACUAGGUCGCUCGUACCAGUCUGUAUUUAUCAGGUGUUUGAUGUGUUUUGGGGCUGCGUUGGUAGAGGUCCAAAAACCCGGAUUCAGGUAUUUAUUUAUUUAUUUAUUUAUUUAUUUAUUUAUUUAUUUAUUUAUUUAUUUACUGACUGCACCGUGCACACACACACACACGAGUAAGUAAAUACAAACGGAGGACUGUUCUACAUUACUUCCUCGUUUGAUUUUAUUGUACAUAAGCAAAAGGAGCUAAACAAUCUUACAAAACUCAUGAUGCUCUUAUGUCAACAACUGAUGUGCUGGAGUCAUUAUUUGCUGACUGCAGUUUAAAAUGACCAUAGCUUCAACACUGUAACUUCUAUUUGAGCUGAUUUUACUGUCAAAUGAGACAAUCAAAUGCAGUUAGGGUUGGCAUGUUAAAAGUUGUAGCCACGUAAUAUGAUUGAUUUGCUUUUCUACAUUUGAUGAUACACAUUUACACAUUUAGGCACAAAUACUGAAAAUCACUGGUUCAUGCAGAACCAGUUUUAACUUCAUUAUAAAGUGUGAAAAUGCRUUUGUUUUAAGAAUCUGAGUGGCAUAAAUAAGAUAAAUCUCAAACCAACAUGUGAAGUCAAUAUGUUAUCAAAUAUAAAACGUGUUGAUACAAUGUUUUUGAGUUGAUAAUAAUAAUAAUAAUAAUAAUAAUAAUAAUAAUAAUAAUAAUAAUAAACACAAUUAACUCCAUAUUCAAUGUCAUAAAUGAAAUUAUUUUGAUCUGCUGCUUUGACUGGCACAAAGAACAGCUUGAAAAUUAAAAAGGCCAUGCUUGAAUUGCAUGUAGAACGUGGACACCUUAGUACUUUUAGGCAGCAUAUUUGUCUAUAUAUGAAAAGAUAUGGGUGCUGUACAUAAAAUAUGAUUUGCUUACUUUGAAAGCAGUGAAAAAACCCAGUAAGAAAUUAACUUAAAAAUGAAAAAAAUUGUUUUGAAUUAUAAGCUGCACAAAUAAGUCAGAAACAAUAUAUCACAAUAUCUGAUUUAAAAACUGCAGAGAAAUUGUUCAAAUAAUGUUUCAAAGCACAUUUUAAAGCAACAGUUUAGACUUUUUGAAGUGGUGUUUUGUUGAAAGGCUGCAAAAAGUGAAUAUCUUACAUGUUGUAGCUCUUUGAGCAAUCUCCUUUAGUAAAAAUAAAGGGUAUUUUUUGACUGGAUUGAUAAUUUAACUGUUAGCCUAAGUGUUACUAAGAGCAAAGUGGGUUGCUGUCAUAUUAAAACAACUCACAUCUUAAAACUUUCAAAGCAAUGAUAUAUGAACACUGUUAUAAACCUUUACAAGCCACUGUUACGUUCUGAUUACAUCAUCAUUCCAGCAAAAACACAAUCUACUGGAAGUGUUACAGUUAGCUGCUGCUGCUACCAUUUGCAUUUUAAAUCUAAUGUAAAUAAAUCUGUAAUGUGAACCAUGUAAAGUUUUAAAAGCUACUUCUAGCUUUAUGAUGACAACAAUCAACCUGGCGAUUGGACUGAGUAAAUCUGUUAGUUUAAUAAUCCACUCAGAAUGAAGCUUUAUUUCUUCAAGCUUUAAAAAUCCAUUCAAAGUUAAGGGUUUUUAAAGAAUCAAAUAUUGUCUUCAGGGACAGUGCUGAUUUUUAAUUACAGCAACAUCAAAGUGCAAUCUGAAUUUUUAACAACAGCAGCAUGGAUUCAUGUUGAAGUACAGAUGUACAAAUGAGCAUCAAAACCUCUCAUGACCCUCUGCUUUAACAUCCUUGGUUCAAAUCUCUGUUCACAUUCUAACAUGAUCACAUUUCUGCCUUAUAUACAGGUGCUGGUCAUAAAAUUAGAAUAU